GCUGCUCUAAGGUCUCCCACAGCCUUCUCUUCUCCAGGCUGAACAACCCCAACCACUUAUGGGAGGAGCUCCUGCCCUCAGAUCAUCCUCGCGGUCUCUUCUAGACUCGCUCCAACAGCUCCAGGUCCAUGGAUCGAGCCCGUGACCCCAGGUUUUUGUCGUGUCAGUGUCUUCCGAGACGUUCUUCUGAGAGACCAAAGAUUUUUGGUCUGCAACAACGUCCCAGAUGCUGAAGUCUGCGUGGUCCAACUGCUCCCAUGGUGACAACGAUGUCGUCAAAGCGAAAGUCACCUCUGAACAGAUCGAACACCUGCACCGGCGAUUCAAGCAGCUGAGCCGGGACCAGCUGACGAUCCGCAAGGAGAAUUUUGACAGUAUCCCCGAUCUGGAGUUCAACCCAAUUAGAGGGAAAAUCGUCCAUGCCUUUUUUGACAAGCGACCCAUCGAGAUGAACAUGGAUGAGGAGCAGCUCGAUCGCUUCCGGAAAGAGAAACUCAAAUUCCUCUUCCACAUGUAUGACUCGGACUGUGAUGGGAAGAUCACGCUGCAGGAGUACAGAAAUGUGGUGGAGGAGCUGCUGUCAGGGAACCCUCACCUGGAGAAGGAUUCCGCACGGUCCAUCGCUGAUGGGGCCAUGAUGGAGGCAGCCAACAUCUGUGUGGGACACAUGGGGCCGGACCAGGUGUAUGAGGGCAUCACCUUCGAAGACUUCCUUAAGAUGUGGCAGGGGAUCGACAUCGAAACCAAGAUGCACGUCCGCUUCCUCAACAUGGAGACCAUCGCACACUGCUACUGACCUCUGCUCCCUCCUGGGAGGAAGAGGAGAAGGAGGAAGAGGAGGACUCUGCAGCAGCUCCACGUUCUUGGCACCAAGCACUUUGUACCCGCCUGCGCGUCCAUCCCAUGGUGGGGCUGCCUUCUGCUCUCUAGAAACAUAAGAGGCUUUUAUCUGUAAUAAAAGCAGGACAAUGUUGCGACGUACCACCCAUCACUUCUCACUGAAGUCAGAGCUCUGCAGUCUGGCAGCAGCUGGAGCCUGCGCUACAGGGACAACUUCCCCCUUUGAUCGUAUAUUCUCUUGGAAGAAUAGUAGGGAAGAACGUGAUGUCCAUGGAUUCUUCUCCCAAAGACAAUGAUUCACUUCAUUUUUGCUAAUCAUCACUGUCAUCAACAAUAGGAACCAGAAGUCAUCCCUGAGGCUCUUCACCUCAAACUGCUUCCUCCUUUGAUGCCUUUUGAUUCUUUAGCUAUCCCUGACUACCCAACCCGUCUGAUGGCCACCAGCCUGGGGCACUAAACCACGCUCUCACGCAGUGUGAACCUUCGCCUUCAGUCUAACCUGUGUAGUAAAUCCAACACUGGUCUACCAUGUCCUAAUGGCAGCUCUUCAACUGAAACCCCUGCCAUCAGCCCUGGGCACCACUCAGCGCAAAAGAAAUGUCCCCUUCUCCAGUGAUAACCUUGGCCUGUGAUACACCAGGGAUGUGCCGAGACAAGAGUCACAGACUGCUUUGGGUUGGAAGGGACCUCUAAAGGUCCACCUAGUCCAACCCCUCUGCGGUGAGCAGGGACACCUUCCACUCAGUCAGGUUGCUCAGAGCCUCAUCCAACCUCACCUUGAAUGUUUCCAGGGAUGGGGCAACCACCACCUCUCUGGGCAACCUGUGCCAGUGUUUCACCACCCUCACAGUAAAGCAUUUCUUCCUUACAGCUAGGCUGAACGAACCCUCUUUCAGUUCAAAUCCAUUAUCCCUUGUUCGAUCACAACAGCCCACCUUUGCCCCUACCCACCACAAACUGGCAGCACUACCACGUCCCCAGAUGGGAAAUCCAAAAGUGGCAUCUACCUCUGGUAAAGAUGGGACGGUGACUCCAGUCUUACUCUUGAAGUUAUUAUGGAAGAGGCUCCCUUUAGAUGUCACCUAACCCUGGUGAAGACGUGAAUGGUCAUGGCUGCUUUUGCCACACUCCAGCACCCACUUCAGUGCAGUGUUAAUGACUACCCAGCAAAGUAGGACAACAUCCCUUUUCCUAGACAAAAAAUAAACUCUCAACACAGAUACUCUCCAGCAGCCCGAGUGCCCUCAUUUGCAUUGUGAAUGCUGGUUAACACGCACAAUCUUCUGCUGUGGUACAACCUUCCUAAAUGAAUUCCAGUGAUAGGAAAAACAGACCAAAAGGACCACUCUCCAACCCAGCCAGAGCUGAAGAGCUGCAUCUGGACCAUGAACCAACGGAACAGUGGUGGUGGGGACAGAGAACUUCCUUCUCCACUGGAGUUUAUGCAAGCCUUCUUCUAUCUGGAUGGGUUGGUUUGGUCCCCAAUGAAGUGAGGACUUGUAGAUCUCCUCUGCACAAGAAAACGAACCCCUCUACCGAUGCAGGUGCUACAAAGCAUCUAUUUUGGAGCAGCUCAGUCAAGGAGCAAUACAGAGGCAGCCUCGCUGCAGGCAGUGCCAAAGGAGAGGACAAAUGCGGAGGUGGACUCCAGGAAAAGGGCUCAACACACAAGACAAACUUAUCUGCUACUUGCAGCAGGGAGAUGAAGAAAGAACAAAGCUGCCCUGAGAUAAUGAGGCAAGAUAACGAAAGUCGGAACAAGCCAAGGGUGUACGAAGCGAGACAGGGCAGCAGGUCACAGCAGGGAGGGGAAGAGAACAAUGACUGUGGAAGCUCUCUGUUCAGCCACAUCAGAAGACGCAGGGCUGGAGCAAC